GAUGAACGCUGGCGGCGUGCUUAACACAUGCAAGUCGAACGGGAAACCUUUUAAUGCAGCUUCGGCAGAUUUAGCUGGUUUCUAGUGGCGGACGGGUGAGUAACGCGUGGGUAACCUGCCUUAUACAGGGGGAUAACAGUCAGAAAUGACUGCUAAUACCGCAUAAGCGCACAGGACCGCAUGGUCCGGUGUGAAACACUCCGGUGGUAUAAGAUGGACCCGCGUUGGAUUAGCUUGUUGGUGGGGUAACGGCUCACCAAGGCGACGAUCCAUAGCCGGCCUGAGAGGGGGAACGGCCACAUUGGGACUGAGACACGGCCCAGACUCCUACGGGAGGCAGCAGUGGGGAAUAUUGCACAAUGGGGGAAACCCUGAUGCAGCGACGCCGCGUGAAGGAAGAAGUAUCUCGGUAUGUAAACUUCUAUCAGCAGGGAAGAUAGUGACGUUACCUGACUAAGAAGCCCCGGCUAACUACGUG
rnacentral:rRNA from 1 species